UAAGACUGUGACUAUACUGAGCACUUAAAUUGGGACUCCAAGGUGAUCUGAUCAUUAGGUACACCAUCUGGCUAUUAGAUGUACCACUAUGUAAUGAGAGUAAGUUAAGGCAUGAUUAGGAUGUCCUGUCAGCUCCUGCAUCAGAGGGAAGUAGGUGCACUGACUUCAGGCAGUUGGCUGGGACAUUAAUGGGUGGAGGAGACCACAUAAUGGGGUGACUCUUCUGUUCACCUGUCUACAAAUGGAAUCAAGACCACCUGGCCUCCUGUAGUGCAGGGAAGACUGAAUUUCAAAAAAUAGAACGGUUCAAUGGUCUCUGGUGGCAGAGAAAGGCCUUCAGAAGCAUCUCAGAGGCUUGCCAUUGGAAGUUAUCAUGUAGAGGAUUAAAUGGGAAACUGUCACCACAUCCACGAGGAAGACAACUAGAGCUACUUGUAAAGAGAAAUCCAAAGGAAAGGCAAUGAGAGUGGCUUCCUUUUACAAAUGUAAUUGUGAAAAAUAUAUGAUAAGAUUAGACUUACCUUCUAACUUGUGGAAAGUAAAAGUAGAAGAC